rnacentral:tRNA from 1 species
ACUCUCUUAGUAUUAAUAAGUACAGUUGACUUCCAAUCAACUAGUCUCAGAUACUAACCCUGAGAGAGAGUA